rnacentral:lncRNA from 1 species
UCUCUGUAUAGCCCCGGCUGUCCUGGAACUCACUCUGUAGAUCAGGCUGGCCUCGAACUUAGAAAUCCAUCUGCCUCUGCCUCCCAAGUGCUGGGAUUAAAGGCGUGCACCACCACGCCCGGUUGCAUUUUGCCUUUGUGAGAAGUGGCUGCACUCUCACAAACUAUACUCAUUUGCACCAGCAGUGUGUAAGUUGUAGUUGCUCUGGGUAGAGUCUUUCUUGUUUUGUUAUUGAUACAGGGUCUUGCUAUGCAGUCCCAGACUGGCCUAAAACUCAGCCCAAGCUAAGCUCAGAUUCCAGGUUGUCCUGCCUCAGAGCACGGCACGCAGAGGCUACAAGCAUCCGUCACCAUAACUGGCUUGAUAAUAACGACCGGUGUUCCCUCCCUCCCCAUGGACAGAACUUGGCUUCCCAACAAGGAUCUCCAGUGUUUAAAUUGGUACAUGGUGCACAAAAAGCAUUAGUACUUGUGAGGUGAGCGUGACUAGGAAACCUCUUGUGACCCCUCCUCUCAUCCUGUGCCUCUCGUGGUUUUUUGUUUGUUUGGUUGGUUGUUUUUGUUUUUGUUUUGUUUUGUUUUGUUUUGUUUUUUUCCUGCAGUUACUGUGGCAACCAACUUGCAGUAAGUAGAGCUGCUUGGCCUGUCCGCCCCUCUCAGCCCCUCUCAGCCCCUCUCAGGGGUUGUCUCAGUGCCUCUGCCUAUCGAUUCCUACUGUGCAGCCCGGAAGCCUGGCACAUGGCACUGGAAGCCAAUGAAACAUAACCCUUUCUCUGAUGCUCACUGGACACUUGGGUGCAUUCUCCCCUGCUUUGAGGUUUGUUCCCACUGGGUCAGGACCCAGGUGUCCCACAUCGAGUCUCAUUGUGCUAUGACCCUUUCUACUGCUCUCCAGACAGUAUUUUUCUUUCUUUCUUUUUUAAGAUUUUUAUUUAUUUAUUUUAUAUGAGUACACAGUUGUUCUCUUCAGAUGCACCAGAAGAGGGCAUCCCAUUACAGAUGGUUGUGAGCCACCCUGUGGUUGCUGGGAUUUGAACUCAGGACCUCUGGAAGAACAGUCAGUGCUCUUAACCACCGAGCCAUCUCUCCAGCCCUCCAGGAUCUUAGCAGCAUCAAGCCCUUUCCUUGCUUUCUCUGCUUGGAAGGAAGUGGCAGAGGUGGAAAAGAAACUAGAACAAAUACAUGGAACUUACAGACCAGUGAGAGAGAUCAAUAAUAAUUCGAAGAUGGACAUCUGAAUAAUUAUAGGUGAAGAGGUACCUCA